UACGUAGGCGGAAAAUUAAGUCAGUAGUGAGAUCCCGCAGCUUAACUGUGGAACUGUUAUUGAUACUGGUUUUCUUGAAUAUAGUUGAGGUAGGCGGAAUGUGUAAUGUAGCGGUGAAAUGCUUAGAUAUUACACAGAACACCGAUUGCGAAGGCAGCUUACUAAGCUAUGAUUGACGCUGAGGUACGAAAGCGUGGGGAGCGAACAGGAUUAGAUACCCUGGUAGUC
rnacentral:rRNA from 1 species